UCGACUUGAUCGAACCCUUCGGUCCUACUUCACGCACGAGACGCAGACGUCCACGUUCUCCAAAAAAAUGAAUCCAAGACGCAGGAACCGCGCAACGGGCGGCUCGCCGCCAGCAAUCAGCGUCAGCGACUUGCCUUUGUCUGGCCCUCGUGGCCUUGCAAGACGAUGCUGCAGCACAGGCCGAUCACCAAUUCUGCAAUUCUCUCAAUCUAAUUGGCAUCGAGGUUAUAGGUUAUAUUGUUAGAAAAAUGUGUCAAUGUCCCCUAUAGCAACUUCAGAAUAAGGUACUGACAUAUUCAUGCAAGUCAUUUUUCUUCACAUCAUUACUUUUAUUUCACUUUACAAUGAACUUGGUUAUCGCGUGGAGAAUGAACUAGUUAUAUUGUGCCCAUAUUUUAGUUUAUAUGGGUGUUUGUCUUGUUGA